rfam:Schistosoma margrebowiei strain Zambia genome assembly, scaffold: SMRZ_scaffold0000121
GCAUUACUGAGGAAUCCUACAAUAGGACGAAAUGGCCAUCCAGUGC